AUACGUAGGGGGCGAGCGUUGUCCGGAAUGACUGGGCGUAGAGGGCGUGUAGGCGGCGGUGUAAGUCUGGAGUGAAAGUCCCGCGUUCAAUGUGGGAAUUGCUUUGGAUACUGCAGUGCUAGAGUGCGGAAGAGGUAAGUGGAAUUCCCAGUGUAGCGGUGAAAUGCGUAGAGAUUGGGAGGAACACCAGUGGCGAAGGCGACUUACUGGGCCGUAACUGACGCUGAGGCGCGAAAGCGUGGGGAGCGAACAGGAUUAGAUACCCUGGUAGUCCACGCGGUAAACGAUGAAUGCUAGGUGUUGCGGGUAUCGACCCCUGCAGUGCCGGAGUAAACACAAUAAGCAUUCCGCCUGGGGAGUACGGCCGCAAGGUUGAAACUCAAAUGAAUUGACGGGG
rnacentral:rRNA from 1 species